GUCUUAGGUUUAAAUGGCUCCUCGGCCACUUAUGGAAUGGUAUGGAAAAAGGAUUGGUUAUUGAAUGGCAUGCCCCCUAAAAUGUGAUAUAGCAGGGUGAAGAAUACUCACCCUGUGACUUUGGUUUAAUUUUGAUUGGUUGACUAGAUUAGGAGUCUAUUAAGAUUAAUAGGUGUAAAUUCUCCUUUGUUUUAAAUCGGUUUUUGUGUUGUUUUUUUUUUUAAUGCUCUCUUGGAAAAUGGGUCUGUGGUUACUGAGAGCAUCAAGAAUCAGAAAGAUAUUUGGAAUAUAGUCAGAAUUGCCUAGAAGAGUAUAGUCUAAACAUUAAACCCCAUCAAUAAGGUUUUAAAUUAGGUCAUUUUAAAAUACCUCACAAAAUAGUUCUGGCCAUUUUCUCACAAUUAGGUUUAAUUAGGUUUUUAAUUUUUCUGUUCUUUUGUGCUCUGUAGUGCAUGAAGUCCAAGGCUGUCAGACCCAGUGUCUUACAGUCUACAACUGGAUUAUUAGCACUUUUGCCAGGAACACAA